rnacentral:rRNA from 1 species
UACGUAGGAUGCAAGCGUUGUCCGGAUUUACUGGGCGUAAAGCGCGCGCAGGCGGCACAUUAAGUAAGGUGUGAAAUAUCCCGGCUCAACCGGGAGGGUGCACUUUAGACUGAUGCGCUUGAGGUCGGUAGAGGGGGGUGGAAUUGCUGGUGUAGCGGUGAAAUGCGUAGAGAUCGGAAAGAACACCAACGGCGAAAGCACUCUGCUGGGCCGACACUGACACUGAGAGACGAAAGCUAGGGGAGCGAAUGGG